GAACGCUGGCGGCAGGCCUAACACAUGCAAGUCGAACGGUAACAGGAAGCAGCUUGCUGCUUCGCUGACGAGUGGCGGACGGGUGAGUAAUGUCUGGGAAACUGCCUGAUGGAGGGGGAUAACUACUGGAAACGGUAGCUAAUACCGCAUAACGUCGCAAGACCAAAGAGGGGGACCUUCGGGCCUCUUGCCAUCAGAUGUGCCCAGAUGGGAUUAGCUAGUUGGUGGGGUAACGGCUCACCAAGGCGACGAUCCCUAGCUGGUCUGAGAGGAUGACCAGCCACACUGGAACUGAGACACGGUCCAGACUCCUACGGGAGGCAGCAGUGGGGAAUAUUGCACAAUGGGCGCAAGCCUGAUGCAGCCAUGCCGCGUUGUAUGAAGAAGGCCUUCGGGUUGUAAAGUACUUUCAGCGGGGAGGAAGGUGUUGUGGUUAAUAACCGCAGCAAUUGACGUUACCCGCAGAAGAAGCACCGGCUAACUCCGUGCCAGCCGCCGC
rnacentral:rRNA from 1 species